rnacentral:lncRNA from 1 species
CGUGUGCUCUCCAUUCGUCUGCUUCUUCCCUCAGCAUUAUUAGGUAGAGGCUCGUCCAGGUGCCGGUGUAUCUCUAGUUCACCCUUUCUACUGCUGAGUAGCGAUCCGUGGUGUGGACGGACCAGAGUUGUUUAUUCACUCACCUGUUGACAGACUCUUAAGUCGCCUCCAGUUUGGGGCUGUUGCAAACGGUGCUGCUAUGGACAUUUUGUGUGGCUCAUCCUGGUGGAAGCUCCGUGUGCCCUGGAGAAGAGUGUGCGUUCCCAUUGUCAAGUGGCCUAUUCUACAAACAUCAUUCAGGUCAUGUUGGGCGACACUGUCUUUUCUGUGAUCUUUUCCUCUUCAUUCCUGAGAAAGGAGUGUUGAGAUCACCGGUUAUACUUGUGGAUUUGUCUGUCUCAUGCAUUAUCUCAGUUUCAUCUUCACGUAUUCUGAAACUCUCUCUUAUCAGGCACACACAUUUUUAGGAUUGCUAAGUCUUGAGGAAUUGACCCUUUUAUCACUGUGAACCGUCCCUCAUUGUCUGUUAGUCUUCCGUGUCUGAAGUCUCCUUUGAUAGUAACAUAGCCUUUCUAGCUUUCUUGUGGGCAGUGGUUGCAUGGCAUAUCUUUCACCCUUUUCACACCGUUAGCCUGUUGUACAUGUAAGGUGGGUUCCUUGUAGAUGGCAUGUAGUUGGAUCUUGGAUUUUCAUCCAGUCCAGCCAUCUCUGCUUUUUAAUGGUGUUUGUCCAUUUAACAUCUAACGUGCUUAAUGACACGGUUGAGAUUGGUCUGCCAUCUUGUUCCUCCUUAUUCCCAAUUUGUCUCUCUCUUCUUUGUUCCUUGUCCUCUUUGCAUGUCUUCUUCUGGGUUGACUGUGUUUGAAUUACUCCGUUUUGUCCCCAGGUAGAGGGGGGUGUGGCACACAUCCCCUCUGUCCACUUCCCACUGGACACGCGGCCACACCUCACAUCAGAGAGGCAGUGGGCUUCAAUGAGGCUGCUCACUUUUACCGUAUUUUGUAGAGCAGUGUUCAUAUAAGAUUUAUUUUUAUGAUAACAACAACAAUAACAACAAAAGUUUAAAAACCACGAACUAAGACAACAGCUUAACUGAUGGAUGUGGCAAUGAAGACUUAGUGAGGAUGGAUAACAGCGGCACGUGCCCCAGGCUCUCCGAGGACCAGCGAGGGCAGGCAUGGGCGGAACGUGGAGCAGGCAACACCAGGCAACGGUCGCAGAUGGGGACACUGAGGCCUCAAGGGAUAACCUUGGAGCGCACAAAGCUGACGUCCUGUGGCUGCGCUGGAGCCACAGGCCUGGCAGCUGGCAGGAGGGUCCAGGCAGAGCGUGGGACCCCUGCCCAUCUUCCUUCCCUCUGCUGGGGGACCGAGGUUCUGUGGCCGGAUAACAGCCCGCCCCGAGGGCUCGCUCAGCCCUGGUCCUCUACGCAAGCUCUCUGGUUGUCUCCCGGUCAGCACACCCCGUGGAUGGAGAAACUGAAGGUGACACCCCUUGUCCCAGAACACAUUGGCAGUAAAUGGUGGUGGGUCAUCAUACCCGGUGGCCUGACCCCAGAGCCAACUGCAAAGUGACGGAACUCUUUAAGCCUCCGAGGUAGACCCCCUUUCUCUUUGCCAUCACUGCCCUGUGGGGCCCCUCCCCACAGCCGGGAGACCUUGCCUAAGAGCAGGCAUGCAGUCAGUGGCCGGAACCCCAGGGGGAAGCGAGUCCCUGCAUCUGACGAGACUUCCACAGGCACCUUCUUUGUAAGAAGGAGGGUGCGUGGGCUGCAUUGGGUCCCCCAAGAUGAUGUGUUGAAGUCCCAAACCCGGUGCUUGUGAGUGUGACCUUAUCUGGAAGCUGGGUUUUUGCAGAUGUCAUCAAGUUAAGCUGAGGUCAGCAGGACAGGCCCCAAAUCCGAUAGGACUGGAGUCCUUGUAAGGAGAGGGAGUUCUGGAUAUACGGAGAGGGGAGAAGGACGCGUGAGGACUGUGAAGGUGGAGGCAGAGAGUGGCUGCCACAAGCCAAGGAGCGCCUGGGGCCUCCAGAAGCUGCAGAGCUGGGAGAGGCAGGAAGGACCCUCCCCUGGAGCCUCUGGAGGGAGUGCGGCCCUGCGACACCUUGAGCUUGGAUGUCCAGCCUCCAGAAU